UACGGAGGGCGCAAGCGUUGUUCGGAAUCACUGGGCGUAAAGCGCGUGUAGGUGGCCUGGCAAGUCGGGUGUGAAAUCCCGGAGCUCAACUCCGGAACUGCAUCCGAUACUGCCAAGCUCGAGUCUCGGAGAGGAUGGCGGAAUUUCAGGUGUAGAGGUGAAAUUCGUAGAUAUCGGAAGGAACACCAGUGGCGAAGGCGGCCGUCUGGACGAUGACUGACACUGAGACGAGAAAGCGUGGGGAGCAAACAGG
rnacentral:rRNA from 1 species